rnacentral:snoRNA from 1 species
CUGCACCCACUGAUAAACCGUAUGGUUCUUUUGGUUUGCACUAGGAUGCAAAAAGUCCAGGAUCCCUGUGAUUUCUGCCUGCCUUUGUGACAGCCCAGAUUGAAUUGGGGAGCACACCC